UAAACUAUAAUUAUUUUAUAUAAAAAUACCCGAAAUAAAAAGAUCAAAAAAGUUAUAUGUAUAGUAUCCUAAAUUAAAUAUAUAGCAUAAUGUAAUUUUAAUAACUUUUUAGGGGAGAAAUUCCAACAGUUUUUAUGAUAGCUGGAUUAAGGGGAAAAGUAUUAAGUACUUGAGACAAUUAUAAAGUGAUAAGAUUUUAUAAUCCAAAUAAGGUGUUUUUAUAGCUCUAGGGUUAACCCCCUGAAAGUUUGUUGCCAAUAACAUUUUUUGACUACAUCUUUUUACUUAUUUUAUCCUUAAACUUUGAAGUAUUAGUAAUUCUUUGUUUAUAAUGUUUAAAUCAGUAUCUACUUAUAAUUUUUAUUAAGGAAUUCGGCAAAAUUUCUGUUCGACUGUUUAUCAAAAACAUAGUCCGUUGUUAUUUAUAAUGGAUAAUGCCUGCCCAGUGAUUUUAUUUAACGGCCGCAGUACCCUGACUGUGCAAAGGUAGCAUAAUAAUUUGGCCUUUAAAUGGGGUCUAGAAUGAAUGGACUUACGAAUAGCAGCUGUCUCAAUUUUAAUUAAAGAAAACUUAUUUAAAAGGUGCAAAUGCCUUUAUAUUUAUACAAUAGACGAGAAGACCCUUAGAAUUUAAUUUAAAAUAAGAAAUGUUCUUGUUUUCAUUUUGUUGGGGCAACAAAGCAGCAUUAAUUAAUCUGCUUUCUAAUAUUUGUGUAAGCCGACUACUAGUAUGAAUAUAUAAAUUACCUUAGGGAUAACAGCAUAAUUUAAUAAAGAUUGUGACCUCGAUGUUGGAUUAGGGCCAUAGUAAUUUAGUCAAUUGCUAUGUUAGUUCUGUUCGAACUGAAAAACCUACAUGAUCUGAGUUCA
rnacentral:rRNA from 1 species